rnacentral:lncRNA from 1 species
UUUCUCUGUUUCUGUUUCUCUACGUCCUUCACAAAAGCCUCAAGCGGGAGCAAUAUCUCAUCCAAUUGGCCAACCUUCUUGUCAACUCUCUUGAUCAGUCUCAGCAUCGUUUUCAGCAUCUUCAUACCCUCCCCCUGUUCAAUCGACUGCACAGCUAAAUGUACUCCAUCCCCUGCUGCAUCUUCUAUCUCUUCUGCCUGUUUUUCUCGCGCGGCCACACCUUCAUCAAACAUGUCUUUAAAAAAGAUCGACAAUCCUUCAUCCAGA